AUGAACGCUGGCGGCGUGCCUAACACAUGCAAGUCGAACGAAGCAUCCCACCCGCAGACAGAACCAGCUUGCUGGGGAAGGAAGCAUAUGGGAUGACUGAGUGGCGGACGGGUGAGUAACGCGUGGGUAACCUGCCCCAUAGAGGGGGACAACAGCUGGAAACGGCUGCUAAUACCGCAUGGGAAAGCGGGACCGCAUGGUCCUGUUUUGAAAGAUUUAUCGCUAUGGGAUGGACCCGCGUCUGAUUAGCUGGUUGGUAAGGUAACGGCUUACCAAGGCGACGAUCAGUAGCCGGCUUGAGAGAGUGAACGGCCACAUUGGGACUGAGACACGGCCCAGACUCCUACGGGAGGCAGCAGUGGGGAAUAUUGCACAAUGGGGGGAACCCUGAUGCAGCGACGCCGCGUGAGUGAAGAAGUAUUUCGGUAUGUAAAGCUCUAUCAGCAGGGAAGAUAAUGACGGUACCUGACUAAGAAGCCCCGGCUAACUACGUG
rnacentral:rRNA from 1 species